UACAGAGGGUGCGAGCGUUGUUCGGAAUUAUUGGGCGUAAAGGGCGCGUAGGCGGUGCGGCAAGUCACCUGUGAAACCUCUGGGCUUAACCCAGAGCCUGCAGGCGAAACUGCCGUGCUGGAGUGUGGGAGAGGUGCGUGGAAUUCCCGGUGUAGCAGUGAAAUGCGUAGAGAUCGGGAGGAACAUCAGUUGCGAAGGCGGCUCUCUGGACCAGCACUGACACUGAGGCACGAAAGCGUGGGGAGCAAACAGG
rnacentral:rRNA from 1 species